UUGGGCCCGACUUGCAUGAAACGGGCCGCCAUGGCCGUUUGACUAAAGAAUGAUCCUGGCUCAGGACGAACGCUGGCGGCGUGCCUAAUACUUGCACCCAGAGCGAAUCUGAGGGAGCUUGCUCCCAAAGGUUAGCGGCGGACGGGUGAGUAACACGUGGGCAACCUGCCUGUAAGACUGGGAUAACUUCGGGAAACCGGAGCUAAUACCGGAUAAUUCUUACCAACACAUGUUGGUAAGCUAAAAGACGGCGCAAGCUGUCACUUGCAGAUGGGCCCGCGGCGCAUUAGCUAGUUGGUAAGGUAAUGGCUUACCAAGGCAACGAUGCGUAGCCGACCUGAGAGGGUGAUCGGCCACACUGGGACUGAGACACGGCCCAUACUCCUACGGGAGGCACCAGUAGGGAAUCUUCCGCAAUGGACGAAAGUCUGACGGAUCAACGCCGCGUGAGGGAUGAAGGAUUUCGGAU
rnacentral:rRNA from 1 species